ensembl:lncRNA
AGGGGUCAUCUCAACUUUUCUCCAUUCGGUGCGGGGGCUGCCCUCUAAAACAGCGAGGGGGGCACAGGGGGUGGGCUCGCUGUGAGCCCUCGUGCACAUGUAGGGAUGUGACUCUCUCUGGCAUCACUGCAUCAUCGCUGUUCACCGGUGUUUCGCUUUCUUGAUCACCUUCAUCACUGUGUUCCAGCGGCUACGUCUGUCCAACGGGGAUGAGAGCGCCGCCCUUGGAGAGCUUCUGCGAUGGCGGCGAUUGCAGUGUGAGGGGCGGAGUGACUGGAAGCGCCGCCCACCUAAGUCCCCACCCCUGCCCCCCACGCCCACCUAAGUCCCCACCCCUGCCCCCCACACUGCUCUGGACCAACAGGAAGGCCCCUCCAUGAUGGAGGUUUUCUGAUAAAGUCACAUACGUUGGCUAUGAAGUUCCUCCCUCUUUCUUCAGCCACACUUCCACGAGCUUUUCAAUUUUAUUCGUUUCCCUUUUUUUUGUUUGUUUUUGAUCUGUUAACCUCUGUCCCCAUUGACUAAGCUGAAGCUCCAAGAAUGAGCCUAGUCCGUGGGGUGAAGGUCCUGCUUUUUCCCUUUGCACUCAACUGUGGGGGAUUCCCUUACUUAUGUGAUAGAAACUCAGCACCAUGUGACAGCUAACUGAUACUAACUGAUAUCCAUGAAAAAUGACUGCAAAGCAGAAAAAGAAUAGAUGCGGGAUAGUCUGUGAUGACAUAUAUGAUCAAAAAGAGAAAAACACUGACUUGUCUAUUUAUUUUCAGCUCUUCUAAGAUGAAAUGACUGACGCUGAUCAAUAGGAGGCUUACAAGCAAAGUAGUUGACCUGGGGUUUAGAUGCCGAAUGGCCAUCUGAUUUGGAUCGUAUGGCCUCAUAAGAUGAGCUGCUGUAUUAAAAUGAGCUCCACUCUAAAACCCGGUGCUGAUUAUACUUGACGUGCUGUGAUGUUCCCGUGUGAUGCUUUCUCAUAUGUGCACACCUCAGAAAGUCUCAGAAAGUUUACAAGUCAACCAACGCCUCUGGAGACCUUCAGUUUUGAACAACACUUUACUGGCUUAGACAUGGGACCUUUUUCAGGUACACAGCUCUCAUUUAGCGUCUCAUGUGUGGGCUCUAAGUGCUACUGCAGCCCUGGCAGCAAGGGGCCCGGGGUCAGGGUAACCUCAGUAUUAUCCCAAGGUGCACUUCUCUUCCCCCUUGUUACCACCAGCCUGUGAGAAAGCCCUCUGGCCAAUCCUAAACUACUGCACUUACCUUUACUAGGAGACGGGGAUCCAACUAAUGAGCAUACUUUGGCUUUAUGUAUAAAGGUAAAGCUGAGAUUUUAAAAAAAGAAAAGAAAAAAAAAGCUUUAGCCGAUAGGUAUUUAGUUCAUGUUCUGAACAUGAAACUCUGUGCCAAAGUGAUACAAUGUGUGAAAGCUAUAUCUAAACUAACAAGUAUAGUUAUUAAAACUGAUGCGUACGGUAGUCUCCUUAUGCUUGUAUACUGUAUGUACAGACUGACAAAUGACCAAAUCAUAGCUGUUGUUGCAGUUCACUGGUGAUCCUGUGUGGACUAAAAACAUUAAAAAGUGUUUAAAAUGGGUAUAAAACUGUUCACACUCUUAACGUGUCUCAUCAGCAUCUGAACAGGUUAAUGCGUUUUUCAGGAGACCUCACGCACAGAUGAACCUGAUUAUUGUACAGAUCCCUACUUCGUUGUUGUGUCCUCGCAGGCGCCUAUUUUUUACCUUCUCUGUCCUGUCCUCAUCUUCUUUUCCUUUCCCGUACUUGACCCAAAACAAACAGACCCCCUUGCCCUUUCCCCUACUUGACCCACCCCACCUCCUCCAGUGGAUCAAACCGGCUUUACGGGUGUUUCCAUGGUAGCCACAGUGUAAAUAGUGAAUGGUGUCAUAUGUUUUAGCUUUUACUAUAGAAGAAAAGCACGGCGGUUGACCUUGAAGAUGAAAGACAAGGAUGAGUAUAUAAUACUGUGUAUGGUGAAACUGAGAUUGAAGAAUGUCUCGGGUUAGAUGCAAUGCUGAGAGAAAGAGGUCUAUUUUAAGAUGUGAAUAUCUUUUCUUUUUUUUCUUUUUUUUAGAACGACUGUCUACGGUUAUGAAAAUUCGUUUAUACUCUAUUUAAUGAUUUGUUUAUUCCCCUUCGACCCCAUUGUUCUGCUCCCUGAUGCAAUGCAGAUGUUCUAAAUGUAUAUGGAUGUUUUAUUGCACAAUGUUUAUGUGGUGUUGUGUUGACCUCUGUAAUGGGCUGGGUGUGUCUAGACAAGGUGUUCGAUCUUUAAAGAUCCAGUCUGAAUUGUUAGAGCCUCCAAGUAUCAAUAGCUCUAAUAGAUUUCUCAUUCCCACUGAUCACCCACAAGGCAUUUAAAUUGGUUCAGAAUUGCAAAUUAGCAGCGCCAUCGCAGGAUCGAUUUCGGUUGUUGUCGGCGUGCGAAGGUGCACAAAUAUUCAAGAGCCCGUUGAAGGCGAACUUGCCCAGUUGUGUUUUGGUCUGACUGGCUGAAUGUACAAAUGCAAAAUUUUUAUUCCACCAUCCUGUGCACAUCUUUGAAUCUCUUUGUAUCUUAUUACCGGAACAUGCGCCUGAAUCAAAACAGUGUACCUAACUGCUUAAUGUGAUUAUUGUCUUCAGAAGUUGUGUAUGCAGUUCAUUUUUUUUCAAGCAAGUAUAAGGUAUUGAUUUGCCCCAUAUAUCACACCUUGUGCACUGUGAUUUGGGGCUGCAUGAGCACUGCAAUGGAGAAAUAUAUCAAACAUUUUCACACAAGUAGUUGUGUGUUUCAUCUGCGAUCAAACAAAAGACAGGAACCAAGACUAAGCUCGUCAACCUUGCUAAUGCCAUUGAAAGAAUUUCUAGCUUUGGUAUUUAUCCUUCAGUAUAAUCAGAGUUAUGGUUGGUCGUGUGCAGUUUUGUGUAUACUUAUGUUUAUGGAAGUCAUGAAAUGAGGACAUUUUUAAAUUGUAUUUUAAAGCAUAUCAGUGGUUUUUACCUUGCAUGACCACAUGUUGGGUGUCCUCCCCGUAUAACAUGCUCGUGCAGAAAAGAUAAAGGCUGUCUAAUGUGAAGAACUGCUUCCCUCUGCACUGUGAAUCACUCCACUGUCCCCCACUGUCUCGGCUAAACACAUCAUCCAUCCAUAUCCACAUAAACCCAUCUGCUAAUAUGUCCACUUCAUCACAUACAAAUCUUGAUGAAUUCGCUCACUCUGAAGUAAGCUCCGGCAGCCAAAAUACUGCCAGUCAUAUUCGUUAGCCAGGAAUCUAUAAAUCCUCUGCUCUGAGAUCACCUCUCUGGUGCUACUGCCAGUGUACAAUGGCCAUCUAUUGUCUCCAGUCCACUUAUAGUUGUCCAGAGAGACAUGAUAUUUCAGCACUGCCUUUCAUAUUGUUGUUGUUGUUGUUGUUUUUUUUUUUAUUGUAAUCUUUCUUUUGUACAUGACAUACAGUAUAUUUUAAUCUGCAUACAUAUGUGUUUGUGGAAAGAAAAAAAUUAUUGUGAUAUUUCAGAAUUAUUAUGUUCCCAAUUUUUUAAGUACUGUACUUGUACAGCAAUAAAGCACAAUUGUGUCAAUGCGA